UUAGAGGUAGGAGAAGUCGUAACAAGGUUUCCGUAGGUGAACCUGCGGAAGGAUCAUUGUCGAUACCUGCCUAGCAGAACGACCCGCGAACACGUAGUUAUCAACGGGGGUCGAGGGCGGGCAUUGCAUGUCCGUCCCCCUCCCCCCUCUGUCGGGCCGCGCUCGGUCAUGCACCGUCUUUCGAGCCGGCGUCGUGGCCGUGCGCUCCCGGCAAACACAACGAACCCCGGCGUGAAUUGCGCCAAGGAAAUAUAAAGAAGGGUCAUGUCCCCGGCACCUUCGUGUCGGACAAGGGCGUGUCAUCUUUGAUGUCUUUAACGACUCUCGGCAACGGAUAUCUCGGCUCUCGCAUCGAUGAAGAACGUAGCGAAAUGCGAUACUUGGUGUGAAUUGCAGAAUCCCGUGAACCAUCGAGUCUUUGAACGCAAGUUGCGCCUGAAGCCAUUCGGCCGAAGGCACGUCUGCCUGGGCGUCACGUACCCAAUCGCCCCCCAAAUCCUCCCACAUCUCUAGCGAUUUGUGGAGGGCUCGGAGGGCGGAGAUUGGCCUCCCGUGCUGUAACGGCGCGGAUGGCCUAAAAGCAAAGCAUCGAGCGACGAAACGUCACGACAAGUGGUGGUUGAUAAAGCCCUAGCGGCAGCCUCAUCGUGUCGUGUGCGUCCAGUCGCGUUCGAUAGCCCAACGACCCCUACACGUCUCGACGAAUUCUGUCGCGACCCCAGGUCAGGCGGGACUACCCGCUGAGUUUAAGCAUAUCAAUAA
rnacentral:rRNA from 1 species